GGUUUCUCUCUUUUGCGUAUAUAUAUGUAUGAUAUAGUCUUUUGUAUAUUGCAAUCAUAGUUGUGGUAACAAUCUCUAAGAUUUUGAAGAAUGGGCUCACAACAAAGAAGAGUAGAGAAGAGUAAACCUAUCUUUCUUCUACUAUCUGUAAAUCAUUAUCUUUUUUUUUUUUAAUUCAAGAACUUUUUUUGUCUUUGUUCUCGGUUAAAUAACAGAUGGAGGUGUUAAUGAAAGAUGAGAGAAAAAGAAGAAUGGUUCAAAAGGUAAAGGCAAGUUUUCUUAUUUUAAUGUGAGCUUUAUUAACUACAUCCUCUUAUUUACAUUAUUUUGGGUGUGAAAUUGUUGCAGACUGAGAUAAUGUUGGGAAAUCAUACAAAAUUGACUUUGUCUUUCCACCAAAAACCAACGACAAUACUCUUAGAGGCGAAUGCAUGCAUACAAGUUUGACUUCUCGAAGAACAAGAAGUUAAUGCCAACGAGAGACACCACUGAAGAAGAAGGAACAAUAUCUCCUUUAUUAUAAUAUAUGCUUGGUUUGUUUUGUUUUGUUUGUAAUAUCAAAACAUAAUAUAUGAUAGUAA
rnacentral:lncRNA from 1 species